AGCUCCAAUAGUGUAUAUUAAUUUUGUUGCGGUUAAAAAGCUCGUAGUUGGAUCUCGGCACCCAGCUCGCGGUUGGUUUUUUGACUUUACUGCGAGAUCCUUUGGGUGUGAAUGUUUUGCGGGAGGUUUUCCGGUGCUCUUAACCGAGUGUCGUAGGAUUCCCGCAGGUUUACUUUGAAAAAAUUAGAGUGCUCAAAGCAGGCUUUACACGCUUGAAUAUUCGUGCAUGGAAUAAUGGAAUAGGACGUCGUUUCUAUUUUGUUGGUUUUCGGAAAUCGACGUAAUGAUUAAUAGGGACAGUCGGGGGCAUUAGUAUUCAGGCGACAGAGGUGAAAUUCUUGGACCGUCUGAAGACUGCCUACUGCGAAAGCAUUUGCCAAGGAUGUUUUCAU
rnacentral:rRNA from 1 species